UACAGCCUUUCCUUUUUUAUUGCAGUCCUGUAAAAUAUUGGCUUGUGCCAUCUAAUGCUGUCUUACCUAUCCUAUCCUGUAACUUGUGUUUGUUUCGCCUUUUCAUUUUUUAUACAAUAUAAUGUUAAAACUUGCAGCAAUACAUUUAUCUUCAUGUGAGAGCAGUGAGAAAACACUUUCACUUGGCAUACUCUUCAUCAGAUCUUAAUAACCUUGGUGGUACCUUGCAGAGGUAUUACUGCCCUAAUUUUGAAUUGAAGGAAAAAUGAGCAGUUAAUGUAAAAUUUCUAACAGAUUUUUGCCUUUAUCAUUACACAUAUGAACUCUCAAGAUUCUCUCAUUACAGGAGAAGUAGAAGAACUAGAGUAGUAUUAAUCAGCUGUGUUGUAUUUAUUCUUUCCUUUAAUGAAUGUAAUGUCAUGUGAAUCUUUGAGCAAAUAAGAGGAUGCGCCAGACAACGGUCAGCCAUUACACAUAAUGAUAAAUGAAAGCAAACUGAAUCCACGUGUUGCAUCUUUAAUUACCCAGUGAUAGUUCUUGUAACACAUGUGAAGUCAAGAUGACUUUCUUGGGCAGCAAGACAAAAAGAAGCAUUUAAUUUUCAACAUAGUGGAGGAUCAGGAGGACUAGCAGACAAGACUACUGAGCUAACCACGGGUGACCAAUGGUUAAAGUUCAUCUGAAACCUACCAUCAUCGUCAUUGAAAGGGGCCACUCUUAAGCUUCUGUGGCCAGGCCUUUGUGCCUUCAGGCUUUUUGUAAAAAAAAUGUUAAAAAUCAGAAAUUGUCAGCAAGCAUCACUGAAAAAAAAAGGGUGGAAGACAUUGAAAAGCAAGAAUGUGUCUCCUGUGAUUCUUGAUGGCUGAUAGGUAAUCUGUUAUCUGCAGUGAAUUCUGUAUUCAGUGUCCUCCUUAACAUGCUGUCAUGCUUAAAGAUUUUCUACAUGUGAGAAAACUCCAUUUGAAGAAACAGAAUGGGGAGCUGACAAAAAGAAAAAGAAGAGUUGUCUCCUUGCUCUACAAGUGACAUCAGCUUGCGCAACACAUCCACUUGAUGUCACCUUAUUCCACAAAAGUUUUCUUCCAGGUUUCCCAUGAAGACAGGCUUCACUUUGGCCAGGAUGGUAACAAAUGGCAUCACUUGGUCUUUGCACCAGUUUCUGUAGGGGUUUCCCCUCAGGGGUGCUGCUGCAUGGUACUCUGGAUUCGAGGCAGGAGGUGCAUCUUCACCACAGUUGGCCUCCCUUUUCUUUCCAUACUGUUGAUUCAUUCUCCUUAACUACUUCUUCAGCCUUGCAUCCUCCAGACAUGGUCAAUCUGCUGUCAAACACUGGUUUAGUCUUCGGAGGUUGUCAAUGUCCCCUGUGCUGCUUCAGACAGCGCAUGCUCAUUUUGCCUGUUUUGCAAAUGAACAGAAAGUAUUUCAAUUAUUAAACAGA